rnacentral:rRNA from 1 species
GACGAACGCUGGCGGCGUGCUUAACACAUGCAAGUCGAACGGAAAGGCCCUGCUUUUGUGGGGUGCUCGAGUGGCGAACGGGUGAGUAACACGUGAGUAACCUGCCCUUGACUUUGGGAUAACUUCAGGAAACUGGGGCUAAUACCGGAUAGGAGCUCCUGCUGCAUGGUGGGGGUUGGAAAGUUUCGGCGGUUGGGGAUGGACUCGCGGCUUAUCAGCUUGUUGGUGGGGUAGUGGCUUACCAAGGCUUUGACGGGUAGCCGGCCUGAGAGGGUGACCGGCCACAAUGGGACUGAGAGACGGCCCAGACUCCUACGGGAGGCAGAAGUGGGGAAUAUUGCACAAUGGGCGGAAGCCUGAUGCAGCAACGCCGCGUGCGGGAUGACGGCCUUCGGGGUGUAAACCGCUUUCGCCUGUGACGAAGCGUGAGUGACGGUAAUGGGUAAAGAAGCACCGGCUAACUACGUG